rnacentral:rRNA from 1 species
ACGUAAUAGAUACCCUGGUAGUCCACGCCCUAAACGAUGUCUACUAGUUGUUGGUGGAGUAAAAUCCAUGAGUAAACGCAGCUAAACGCGUGAAGUAGACCGCCUGGGGAGUACGGUCGCAAGAUUAAAAACUCAAAGGAAUUGACGGGGGCCCGCACAAGCGGUGGAUUAUGUGGAUUAAAUUCGAUGCAACGCGAAAAACCUUACCUGGCCUUGACAUGCCACUAACGAAGCAGAGAUGCACUAGGUGCCCGUAAGGGAAAGUGGACACAGGUGCUGCAUGGCUGUCGUCAGCUCGUGUCGUGAGAUGUUGGGUUAAGUCCCGCAACGAGCGCAACCCUUGCCAUUAAUUGCCAUCAUUUAGUUGGGCACUUUAAUGGGACUGCCGGUGACAAACCGGAGGAAGGUGGGGAUGACGUCAAGUCCUCAUGGCCCUUAUGGCCAGGGCUUCACACGUAAUACAAUGGUCGGUACAGAGAGUUGCCAACCCGCAGGGGAGCUAAUCUCAGAAAGCCGAUCGUAGUCCGGAUUGUUCUCUGC